rnacentral:rRNA from 1 species
UACGUAGGGUGCGAGCGUUGUCCGGAAUUAUUGGGCGUAAAGGGCUCGUAGGCGGUCUGUCGCGUCGGGAGUGAAAACUCAGGGCUUAACCCUGAGCCUGCUUCCGAUACGGGCAGACUAGAGUGAUGUAGGGGAGACUGGAAUUCCUGGUGUAGCGGUGAAAUGCGCAGAUAUCAGGAGGAACACCGAUGGCGAAGGCAGGUCUCUGGGCAUUAACUGACGCUGAGGAGCGAAAGCAUGGGGAGCGAACAGG